rnacentral:lncRNA from 1 species
CCUUAUCAUUAAGCACAGUCCGAUCGGAUAUCCGGUUUGGGCAAUAAGAGAUGUAAAUAAAGUGAGGAUUUUAAAGCCCAAAGGCCUCCUUGCUAUAAAAACGCACCCAAAACGCCUCACCUGGACCCCGCGCGCACCCAGAAGGAUCACGUUCAGAGACAGAGGUGCAACAUGAGUCAAGAGAUUUCAUCUUUACUAAUUGGGUUGCGGGGGCUUUUGUUUAUAAAUUUCACUGUAGGAUCAUUUUAGCUAUGUUCAGUUGAGGAACGCAGCAGAUCUGGAUGACAGAAGAAACCGAAUAUUAACCAGGAAGGCCAACAGCUCAGGAGAAGCCAUGUCACUGGGGAGCCACAGCCCGCAGAGUGACUCCCUGACACAGCUUGUCCAGCAGCCGGAUAUGAUGUAUUUUAUUCUCUUCCUGUGGCUCCUGGUGUACUGCUUGCUGCUCUUCCCACAACUGGAUGUUAGCAGGCUCUGAUACGUGUGUCUGGAUAAUAAAAAAGACAGGACCCUGA